GGCCCCGUGGCGGAAUUGGCAGACGCAGCGGGCUUAAAACCUGCCGCCGCAAGGCGUCCCGGUUCGAACCCGGGCGGGGCUA
rnacentral:tRNA from 1 species